CUCUCACACACACACACACUCACUCACUCACUCACUCACUCUCUGUGUGUGUGGGGGGGGGAGGGGGAGGGUGUAGUGUGGAAAUAAAAAUACAGAUGUUGCUUUUCGCCACUGUGGCCUUUGUUAACCCCCCCCUCUGAUUUUUGGGGGAGGGCAGAGAUUUUUUUCCCAACAAACCUAGAAGUUUGCGGGAGCCUGUAUCUCACCCCUGAGUUGUAAUGUAGGGAGGGGUUUUGAUGUGCCCUGCAUGCUCAGUUAGGAAAACUCUUCAUUUUGCAUUUGAAUGCCACUUAGGGGAACCCCACAUACAGUAGGAGUUGAAUGAAAACCAGAUGACACUUCCAGUUGAAUCCGGCCAUGGAAGCCUUUGACAGUUUUUGCUUUUAUUAUAGUUCUAAAAGAGCCUGAUUUUUCUGUCCAUUUAAACUGAAAUGUGGGUAGGUUCUACAUUCCAGUAAUUCUCCCAGCCAAAUCUUAUUCCAUUAAUCAGGUCGUCCUUCCUGCUACCAGUUCUAUCUCCCCCCUCCCACCCUUUUUUCUGGCUUCACUUUUUCCAAACAACUUGUUCUGUGUGAUUUGCUCCCUGCCUUUCUCUUUUCUUUGUGACCUCCCAAGUUAACUGCAAAGCAAAUUUCUACCAAAUCAGUGAAGGGCACACCCUGGCAAAGUUCUUGUUGCAACCAUUCCAGUUUCUACAAUGAAAACAUUUAAGAUGCAAGCAGACAUAAAACAAAAUGUUUCAAGCUGCUGCAAUACCAAUUUUCUAAAUCUGGUUUGAUAUGUGUUCAGAUGCUAACCUCAGCCAUGCUGCUCUGAAUAAAGGUUGUGUUUCAGCACAAAUUAUAUAUACACCUGCAAAAGCCAGCGUGGAGUCAACUGUUCAGCAAUUUAUUGUCAGAAUCUUUUCGUUAAUUAUAAAAGCAAAACAAU